rnacentral:lncRNA from 1 species
GGAGAGUCUUUAAUCUUGUUUUGCUAUUGGUGUAUACUGUUCGGGAAAAUUCUCCUGCAAUUCUUGGCCAAUUAAUCCCCCACAAAAACAUGAGAAUGCCUUCUGCUGGCGCCUUUGUACACAGUCAAAGGAAUGAUAUUCACGCUUAAAGAUAGUUGAGAUCAGACACAAAGGGUUAAUCCCAAUGAGCAGACAGCGCGAUUUCUGAUUGAACAAAGAACACUUUAUUGAGUGCUGCCUGGGUGCGGGGAGAAGAGCGGGAUGACCCAGAUGGGAGGCAAGAUCCUCCUGGAGGUCCUGAGGUUCCGGGCCCCCUUCGGUGGGCGGGGCCGUCGGGAACCUAAGAGCACUCUGCGGGGGCCACCUUCUUCUCCACGGUGCUCCCCUCGUGCGUGACCAGGCAGCUGAAGCUGCUGUGAGAUUUCCACUUGUCAGGCGUCAGGCUCAGGUAGCUGCUGGCCGCGUACUUGUUGUUGCUCUGCUUGGAGGGCUUGGUGGUCUCCACGCCCUGGGUGACGGGGCUGCCGUCUGCCUUCCAGGCCACCGUCACACCGCUGGGGUAGAAGUCGCUGAUGAGGCACACCAGGGUGGCCUUGUUGGCGCCGAGCUCCUCAGAGGAGGGCGGGAAGAGUGUGACCGAGGGGGAGAAGUCGCUGAUGAGGCACACCAGGGUGGCCUUGUUGGCGCCGAGCUCCUCAGAGGAGGGCGGGAAGAGUGUGACCGAGGGGGAGGCCUUGGGCUGACCUGUGGGGAUGGAAGGACAGCGGGUCAAGGCAGAUGUUUGUUGUGUCAGCAACUGCCUCAUUCUUGGUGUGGGGGUACAGCUGUGUCAUAUCCAUGACCCAGGCCUCCCGUGGACCUCAUUCCCCGAGGUAAUGGUAGCCAUGGAUAGUUAGUUCCCUCACCUUCUGAGGUGAGAAUGUGAGUGCCAGAUUCUCUAGUUUCUGGUCCCUCCCAUGUCCUUAGGCUGUCUGCACGUCACGUAUACUUCGUGUCCACCCAGUGUGCUCCCAGUACUGGUGGGGGUACAGGGGCCCUGAGAUCCUGUUUCCCUUCUGAACCUGAGUGUCCUUGGCCAUUGGUCUCCAUGUGACUACACCCGUGUCACUUACCCGUGAUUUCCUAGAGCCUGCCAUUCUCGGUGACAGGGCUCUGUUCUUACCAUGUGAACAAUAGGUUUCCCGUCCCCAGACUGUCUCACAUCUUCACAGCAGCCUUCCCCGCCUCCCUACCAAUCCCGCACUAGAGCCCUUGAAGUUGUAAGCGCAAUGAGGUCCUGGGCCUCGGUCCAGGAGGUACAGGAGACAGAAUGGAUUUGUAUGAAUGAAUUUUCAAAAUGCAGCUGGGAUUUUGUUUGAUCUGAGGGUGUCCCCUGACCCAUGAAGUUAUCCUAGUGCAUCUGUCUGUCCUUGGAUUUCUGAGUGCUGUGUAGGCAAUGUCCCUGUUCUGCGUUCCUAUCAUCCCCCCUGACCCAAAUUUCUGCUCAUUGGCUUUUAAGCCUCGGAGAGCUGUGUAGGGAUGGACCCCUGCUACCUGAGUGUCUCGAGGCCUCCUUGGGUGCGUGACGGUCCAUUCUUGGUGUGUGUUCUCUCCCCCUAGGUGGUGGAUGGUCCUACCGCAUUGGGCUCCCUUAUCUGAAGUCCUCACCUUAUUCUUGACCCUGAGCUGUACUUUGCCUUCCUUGUCUCUAAGUCCCCAUGCCUAGUGUCUCCUCCCUGAGCUUCACACAGACUCUGGCUGGGAUUCCCGCCACACGCAGAGAGAGAGCAAGCGCCUUGGCAGGCCCCAGAAUCCUUCCAUAAUCCCAUGGCCCUGCUUACAGCUCAAGUAUCCCUCUUCCUAUCCUUCACCAUCAUUUCCCUCAGAUUCUUGAAGUCAAAGGCCCAGAGUGGGGAGUCACAGAUGCCCAAGUCCAGGGGAGAAGUUUCCCUCAUGGGGAGAGAGCUCGACCCCCAGGGAAGCCUGAGUGUAGAUCAGGGGCUGCUUCCCUGAGGCACCGAAUGGACCUCUGACAAGGUGGGAGCAAUGGAGGAAUGAGGAGCAGAGCAAGGGGACCAAAAGUACAGACCCACAGACCUUCAGCCUCAGCCCGCAUCAGGAUUGAAAGGAGACAAAUAUUGCCAGAAAUUGUAGUGCGGAGGUGAAAGAGGAGAGAAAGGGGGAGACUCACCGAGGACGGUCAGAUGGGUGCCUCCGCCGAACACACUACACUGUGAUACAGCCUCGAUCACAAACCCUCUGUCAGCCCCUCCUCCCCUUACCCAGGCCACCUGCAGGUGCUCGGGAGGCCCAAAGGGCAGCCUCCUUGUCACGGGUGCUGGUCAGGCUGAAUGGGAGUGGGGUGAUGAGGGCGUAGCCACUGAGGACCAGGAAUUUCAUUUCCAUGGAGGGUUCAUGUUCCUUCCAUCCCAAGUCCCAGUGUGAGG